GACGAACGCUGGCGGCGCGCUUAACACAUGCAAGUCGAACGGAAAGGCCCUGCUUGCAGGAUGCUCGAGUGGCGAACGGGUGAGUAACACGUGGGUGAUCUGCCCCUUACUUUGGGAUAAGCCUGGGAAACUGGGUCUAAUACUGGAUAGGACCAUGCUGUAGGUGGUGUGGUGGAAAGAUUAGUUUCGGUAAGGGAUGAGCUCGCGGCCUAUCAGCUUGUUGGUGGGGUAAUGGCCUACCAAGGCGUCGACGGGUAGCCGGCCUGAGAGGGUGGACGGCCACAUUGGGACUGAGAUACGGCCCAGACUCCUACGGGAGGCAGCAGUGGGGAAUAUUGCACAAUGGGCGCAAGCCUGAUGCAGCGACGCCGCGUGGGGGAUGACGGCCUUCGGGUUGUAAACUCCUUUCAGCCAUGACGAAGCCCUUGUGGUGACGGUAGUGGUAGAAGAAGCACCGGCUAACUACGUG
rnacentral:rRNA from 1 species